GACGAACGCUGGCGGCGUGCUUAACACAUGCAAGUCGAACGGAAAGGCCCUGCUUUUGUGGGGUGCUCGAGUGGCGAACGGGUGAGUAACACGUGAGUAACCUGCCCUUGACUUUGGGAUAACUUCAGGAAACUGGGGCUAAUACCGGAUAGGAGCUCCUGCUGCAUGGUGGGGGUUGGAAAGUUUCGGCGGUUGGGGAUGGACUCGCGGCUUAUCAGCUUGUUGGUGGGGUAGUGGCUUACCAAGGCUUUGACGGGUAGCCGGCCUGAGAGGGGGACCGGCCACAUUGGGAUUGAGAUGCGGCCCAGACUACUAUGGGAGGCAGCGGUGGGGAAUAUUGUACAAUGGGCGGAAGCCUGAUGUAGUAACGCAGCGUGGGGGAUGACGGCCUGCGGGUUGUAAACCGCUUCCGCCUGUGACGAAGCGUUAAUGACGGUAACGGGUAAAGAAGCACCGGCUAACUACGUG
rnacentral:rRNA from 1 species